AAAACUUUCAACAACGGAUCUCUUGGUUCUGGCAUCGAUGAAGAACGCAGCGAAAUGCGAUAAGUAAUGUGAAUUGCAGAAUUCAGUGAAUCAUCGAAUCUUUGAACGCACAUUGCGCCCGCCAGUAUCCUGGCGGGCAUGCCUGUUCGAGCGUCAUUU
rnacentral:rRNA from 1 species